GAAAAACAUUUUGGGUUAAUUAUUGCUUUUGUUCAUGACCUAUGCUGAGCUUUUCAUUAGUAAAGCGAACCCUGAAUCUUCAAAUAUGUUUGGAUAAGUUUAAAUGCAUAGAAACCUUAUUCUAUAUUUCAUCUUGUACUAAUAGGAAAGAGCCCCUGAUGAAGCUUUUGGCGAAACAGCUCCUUAUCCCGGGGUGGCUGUCCUGAGUACAUCGUUUCCUUCCUUUUGGAUUUGAGGAUUUAUGACCUGUACUGCAUGUACUCAGCAUUUUUUCAUUCUGAAGACAUCUCGGACUCUGCCUGGAUACCUGUAUUCACUGUCUUCUUAUUUUUCCAUUGUAUGCUGCAUUUCCAUUUUGUAUCAUCAUUGUAUUUUUAUAUGUGUUAUACAGAUGUGUUUGAUUGUU